rnacentral:lncRNA from 1 species
UCAAUGCUAUUAAAGUGCCAAUUACCAAAUCAGCCUUGGCGAUUUGAUAUUUCAAAAAAGUGAAACAUAAUUCAAAUCACAAUGAUUCAGAUAUUUAGAUUCGAGCAGAAAUAACUAAAGAACUGAACUCACAUAUACAUGAUACACUGCAUAAAUCGUACAACUAGUGUUAAACUACGCAUCUAUCUAUGACUUUUAUGUAUAUCCAAGGGAACGUGCUGAGAAGUAAGAAGAAAAAACUAGAGAGGAAGGCUGACCACCGCAUAUGGGGCGACGCCGGGAGCCUCAAUUUGACUAAUAAUAACUACCGAACUGAAUUCAUACAUAAUAAACAACAAAAAAUUGCACCACUCAGGUUCGACUCCACAUCUAUGACGUUAUAUAUAUCAAAGGGAAUAAGCUUAGAAGUAAGAAGAAAUACUAGAGAGGAAGACUGACCCCGCACGGGCCAGGAUGUAAGGGCGUGAGCAAGUGAAGGGUCAUGAAAAUCAAGAGGAAGCACAAAAUUCUGAUAAGAGAGGAGGAGGGAGAAGAAAGCAGUUUUGCCAUUGCUUUUGAGUUCUUUCAAGCGCUUUCCUUUUUUUUUUUCCAUGUAUGUAUAUAUAAGCCCCACAAGAAUCAUUAGUCAUAACAUUAGAUGGACAACAACAACAUCGUACUUUAAUUACUUGGGACGCAGCACCCAUGACUCUGGCCCCUGGCUUUUGAACAGGUCAAUCAGUAAAUGCGUAAGAGACGUGCUUAAUGAGUGAAUCUCCCCAAGUCCUCUCACACCAAUUUCAUCCCGUUCAAACUCGGGAUAUGUCAAAAAAGUGAAACAUAAUUCAAAUCGCAACUAUUCAGAUAUAUGGAUCCGAGUAUGAAUAACAACCGAACUGAACAAAAAAGUGAAACAUAAUUCAAAUCGCAACUAUUCAGAUAUAUGGAUCCGAGUAUGAAUAACAACCGAACUGAACUCACAUAUACGUAAUACACAGCAUAAAUACAACUAAUGUUUGACUUCACACCUGUCGAUGACUUCUAUGUAUAUCCAAAGGAACGAGCUUAGGAGUAAGAAGAAAUAACUAGAGAGGAAGACUGACC